AAAACAAUAUCAGUGAGGUCUGCUGUGCUUACCAUAGAAUUUCUAAGGUGAGAAGGAUUUGAUUGCUCAACAGACAGGUACGUUACAUACUUAACAUACCACUGUAGUAGCAUAAACAUCAAAAGAAGGAGACAAAUUCUUGAAAGAACUCGAUUAUUUCAUGGAAGUGCCAAGCUAUCAAAGUAGUCACUUGGGAAAGGAAUCCUGCAGACUCCUUUCUUACGAUUUUAUAUUUUUGCAUCUUCAGUAAAAAAAUGAUGUCAAAAUCUCCAUGGCUGAAAGCAAUAAAGGUGUAUUUUUAAUUUGUAUUACACAUUCACUGUGGGCUGGCCAGGAGGGACAGUGGAUCCCGAGAGGGACGGGGGGUCAUUCUGUACUACUCAGCCUUCGCUCAGGGAAGCAGGACGGUCACAAACAGCCCUGGCCUCAGUGGCAGAGGGGAGACAGCAUGGGCAAUUGUUCAUUGGCCGUUGAAGUUAGUCUCCUGCCAGAAAACGUCUGCUCACAUCCCAUUGGCCCAAGCCAAUCUCGUGGCUUAUAUGACUUUAAGGAGGUGAAGACUGGUGGUACUGCCAUGUGCGUGGAAGGAAAAUACCAAGCCUGUUGGGGAACAGCCUGACAAUCACAAUUCUGCAGAUAGAAGAUAGGUAGGUAGGUAGACAGAUAAUGAUGGACAGAGAACAGAUAGAUACAAAGAUAGUGAGAUAAGGAGGACAAUAAUCUUUUCAGUGUUUGGGGCUCUCAAAUGUCAUAAUCCUCCCCAGAAGGGAGGGAGAAAAGGCUGGUCGUCCCUCCUUGGAGUUGGAUAAAUGCAAACAGUAAGAUCCCACAAUCUCCUGUUCUCCUCCAGACCCUGUGAUUCUGAUUCCUUACUUUCUGCCUCCCACCUCAGUUCCAACGGAUGAAGACUUGUUUUCUCACUGGAGUGGGAGCAGGGCUGAUGACCUCACUGACCGUCUCCAAGCUGCUUUUGGGGGCAGAUGCCAUCAGGAGGGACUCUGGCUUGUGGAAAUACUAUGUUCUCUUCCUGCCUUCGGGUGACUGUACAAACUUAAAAAAAAAAAAAAAAAAAAAAAAAAAAAAGCCCAGGCUGCAGCUCCACACAGGGUGUCUAGCCAAAAUGCAAAGUUUUACCACAGCACACAAGUAGACAGUGUUUUUCAAGUGCGGGAACCGAGUGAGGUGCCUUUCAGCACCUUUGCCGGCACCUUCUUUAAAAAUGAUUUAAAUUGGAGGCAAUAGCAUCGAACGCUGAACAUCUGACAUUCAGACAAGACUUAAUGAAUCAUACACUUUAACAACAUCACUCUCCUCCAGCCACUUCACUUGGAGUCCAUGGUGGUUGUUUCUCCCCCCCAUAAAAACAUUUGUUCUGCAGACCAUUUGCUGGUUAGAGUGUCCUGGGCAACUCUUCAUUCAUGGCAGGGAGAGCUGGUCCAAGAGACACUGCAAACCUGAGUUCCUCCCGUGUCCAGUCUCUCCAGCUCUGAACUUCAGACUCGAGAGACAACAGUGGUUCUUCGGAACCCGACUUAGAACCACCUCGGUCUCUCCCCAGAGCGGUCUACUGCAGAGUAUUUAAGCUGCGCGACCAAAUGUCCCCAACCUACAGCAGCCAGUGCUGUCAUUUGACUGAUUUGAAUCAAACUAACAAAAAAGCUAUGACUCUGUGGAUCGGAAAAUACCAGUGUUAGGGGGAAAAGACAACAAUUCUGAUAUUCAGGUUGGAGCAAAUCAUUAUCUUCAGUGUUGUUAUUUAAUCCUCUCCCUGUGGGGGUGACAGUAUGUCUCAUAGCUUGCCUGACAACUGCUAAGGACACAGGCAGAGUGGUCCAAGGUUGCCCAGCUUCACCAAGGACCAUAAGCUAUUGUCUCACACACCUUUUGGACGGGUUACCAAUUCAACGCCACUGGCAGAGAAAGCGGGAAGGGGGGGCAUUCCCUCGGGGCUGCAACGUAUGCAAACAAUUUAAUCUUCCAAUCCAAUCCUUAAUGUAAAUGUUUAAUAUAAACCUGAUGUUAACACGAUGUACAUGAAUUUACUGGCCAGCAAAGCUGGGAUUUA